UAAUGUCAACCCAGGAGCUUUCCUUCCUCCCAGUGCUUACCAAUGUGACCAAAUUUAACCUCCACUCAUCGAACCAAACCUGUCUGAAUACGAGUGCAGUGCCCAAACCUCACUUUGAGACCUUUAUUGUUAUAAAAGUGUAAACACACACAGAGACAUGGUUGUCAGCAUUCCGGGACUCUCAGAAAGAAGAUACCAGACAUCAGAGCAGAGUAUUUUUAACCAACAGUCUUGUAAGCCUAUACCUGGCAUAUAUAAAGUUCCAGCUUGUUCUGCCAACAGUCCUCUGUGGCAGAUGCUUCAGGGGAAGAGCUGCUGGAAAAGACAUUCAAAAAUAGAACGCUCUCCCCUUGAACUCUGAACUCUCUUCGAAGGAAGUUGUAAACUCUUUACAUCUGGAAUCUUCAAAUACGAACUAGAACAAUUUGCAGACUAGAAAACAAUUCCUUUGUGGACUUUCAGUACGAGCUUAAGGUUUCUAAGCAUUUAACACAAGAAGGUGUAGAACAAGGCUAAAGAAUGAAGCAAGAGACUGGCAGUCCUGAUGAGAAAGCAUACUACAGUGUAUCCUAUCUGACACGCCAAAAUGGAGAACGCAAAGAAAGACAACUCACCACACAGCAAGACUUUCACGCCUCACAAUGGCAACAACACAUAACAAACACGGCUAAGAUACAGGAUCUCAUGAGCCAAUGCAACUGAGAAAACAAUAAAUGUCAUCAGAGAUGAAGGACAGGAUCACAGACUGGUGAUGGUGCUGAACCUCCGAACCUACCGUAUGAGUGCUGAUGGGAUGACGAGCUCAUGGCACAACCCAGGGCUUCCUGCACGCCAGGCAAAAGCUCUCCAACUGAGCUACAGUGUGAGACCCCAGGUUUACUUUCAUUUCUGCUCCCUCAUUCUAGAUUGCAGAAAUGCAAAUUGAGUGUGUGCUCAGAGAGAGGCAUCAGUUGAAUCCUAUAAAAUUCAUUCUGGGUUUUA